rfam:Stegodyphus mimosarum contig115237, whole genome shotgun sequence.
GCCUUCGUGAUGUAAUGGUCAGCACACUGAGCCGGUAUUUCAGAGGUCCGCGGUUCGAUUCCCGGCGAAGGCG